rnacentral:rRNA from 1 species
AACCUAGGAACUGCAUUCAAAACUUAUAGACUAGAGUACGAUAGAGGAGAGUAGAAUUCCUGGUGUAGCGGUGAAACGCGUAGAUAUCAGGAGGAAUACCAAUGGCGAAGGCAACUCUCUGGAUCGACACUGACGCUGAGGUGCGAAAGCGUGGGUAGCAAACAGGAUUAGAUACCCUGGUAGUCCACGCCGUAAACGAUGAGAACUAGCCGUUGGAUCUUAGAUUCAGUGGUACAGCUAACGCAUUAAGUUCUCCGCCUGGGGAGUACGGCCGCAAGGCUAAAACUCAAAUGAAUUGACGGGGGCCCGCACAAGCGGUGGAGCAUGUGGUUUAAUUCGAUGCAACGCGAAAAACCUUACCAACCCUUGACAUCUAGUGAAAUUUCUAGAGAUAGAUUUGUGCCUUCGGGAACACUAUGACAGGUGUUGCAUGGCUGUCGUCAGCUCGUGUCGUGAGAUGUAUGGUUAAGUCCAGUAACGAGCGCAACCCCUAUUCUUAUUUGCCAGCACUUCGGGUGGGAACUAUAAGGAGACCGCCGUGUAUAACACGGAGGAAGGCGGGGACGACGUCAAGUCAUCAUGGCCCUUACGGGUUGGGCUACACACGUGCUACAAUGGGAGAUACAGAUGGUUGCGAAAGCGCGAGCUGGAGCUAAUCCCAAAAAGUCUUCCUCAGUCCGGAUUGGAGUCUGCAACUCGACUCCAUGAAGCAGGAAUCGCUAGUAAUCGUGAAUCAGAAUGUCACGGUGAAUACGUUCUCGGGCCUUGUACACACCGCCCGUCACGUCAUGGGAGUGUGUUGCACCAGAAGUGGUUUGCCUAACCUUUGGAGGGCGGCCCCCACGGUGUGAUACGCGACUGGGACGAAGUCGUAACAAGGUAACCGUA